AUUGAACGCUGGCGGCAUGCCUUACACAUGCAAGUCGAACGGUAACAGGCCGCAAGGUGCUGACGAGUGGCGAACGGGUGAGUAAUGCAUCGGAACGUGCCCAGUCGUGGGGGAUAACUGCUCGAAAGAGCAGCUAAUACCGCAUACGACCUGAGGGUGAAAGCGGGGGACCGUAAGGCCUCGCGCGAUUGGAGCGGCCGAUGUCAGAUUAGCUAGUUGGUGGGGUAAAGGCCUACCAAGGCAACGAUCUGUAGUUGGUCUGAGAGGACGACCAGGCACACGGGGACUGAGACACGGCCCAGACUCCUACGGGAGGCAGCAGUGGGGAAUUUUGGACAAUGGGGGCAACCCUGAUCCAGCAAUGCCGCGUGCAGGAAGAAGGCCUUCGGGUUGUAAACUGCUGUUGUCAGGGAAGAAAUCUUCUGGGUUAAUACCUCGGGAGGAUGACGGUACCUGAAGAAUAAGCACCGGCUAACUACGUGCCAGCCGCCGCCGUAACAC
rnacentral:rRNA from 1 species